UUUUUCUGUGCAUCAGAUCUGUUUAAUCAAAACCCAAGUCGGUCGUGAAAGAUGACCACCAACACUGAGCCUGGUUCUGGUUCUGCUGGAAGUUUCUUCCUGUUGAAGAAUCUGGAUUUACAAAUGAAACGCAGAAAAACCACUUUCAUCUGAAAACUGGACUUUCAUGUGUAAAAAGCAGCAGAUGAGCCGUUUCAUGUGGAGCUGCUCACCUUCCUGCAGCUGCACCACUUC